rnacentral:rRNA from 1 species
GACGAACGCUGGCGGCGUGCCUAAUACAUGCAAGUCGAGCGAGCGGAACUAACAGAUUUACUUCGGUAAUGACGUUAGGAAAGCGAGCGGCGGAUGGGUGAGUAACACGUGGGGAACCUGCCCCAUAGUCUGGGAUACCACUUGGAAACAGGUGCUAAUACCGGAUAAGUAAGCAGAUCGCAUGAUCAGCUUUUAAAAGGCGGCGUAAGCUGUCGCUAUGGGAUGGCCCCGCGGUGCAUUAGCUAGUUGGUAAGGUAAAGGCUUACCAAGGCGAUGAUGCAUAGCCGAGUUGAGAGACUGAUCGGCCACAUUGGGACUGAGACACGGCCCAAACUCCUACGGGAGGCAGCAGUAGGGAAUCUUCCACAAUGGACGCAAGUCUGAUGGAGCAACGCCGCGUGAGUGAAGAAGGUUUUCGGAUCGUAAAGCUCUGUUGUUGGUGAAGAAGGAUAGAGGUAGUAACUGGCCUUUAUUUGACGGUAAUCAACCAGAAAGUCACGGCUAACUACGUG